rnacentral:lncRNA from 1 species
CUGAAUUCUUAAAAAUAGGGAGGCAUAUGGAGUAAGAGAGAAGGAGCAGCUGUUCUGUUUUUCUCUGAGGAUAGAAUGAAGGGGACUGAACUUAAAUUACACCAAAAGGAAUUUAUUUAAAUUAGACAUUAAGAAAGUUGUGAGACAAUGCAACAUGUUAUCCAGGAUUUUGGAACCUGCUAUCUAGAGAAAAUUUUAAAAGAUGUGUUUUAUUUUUGUCCUUUAAAGUGCAUAUGUAUGUUUCUAUCUAGUCAUUUAUAUGAACACUGUACUUCAUCAUAAAAUGAGAAAGUAUAGCUAGGUCUUUCUAAGAGAAAAUGACAGACAGGAGGCACCCAUUCACCACCAACCCACCAUACCCGACUUGUGGCCGUGGCAGACAUUUCUAAUUAAUCGCAGCCAUUUUCCUGUCCAAGCCGAGGCAAGGUCUCAUUAUUUAUCUCAACACCAUGAUCCAGACAGCCAUUACCAAUCAGUCACAGUUAGCCAAGGAAGUAGGAACACAUUUCUCCAUUCAGGUUGUGUUCAUAGGUGACUCAAAACAAUUUGUACAGAAUCUUACAAUAGAUGAAAUUUUUGAGUCUUAAAUGCAGUCACAGUGCUUCUGCCUCAGAAUUCAGUAAGAAUAUAUUGUUCUUAUUAAAAUUCUGAUUCUAGAACAGUGCUUCAGAGAUUCUGAUUGUUAUGGGAAGAGGCCCAGAUCCCAUUACCAAGUGUUUUGCAUAGCGGAUUGAUCCUGUGUUUACCCUUUGGGGUGCAUUGCUAUGGAAGGAGGGAGGCAAGUCACAGGCUUACAGCACAGGUGCAGAGACCUGUACGGGAAAAAAAUGCUCUGUCUACUUCAGCCUCCUACAAAUUUAUAUUCACUCAGCUCCAUAAUAAAGAUGUCUAAAAGAUUAAAACUAGACCCGCAUCUUUCAACAUGCACUAAAUGAAAAUCGAAGUGGAUUAAAGAUAUAAAUAUUAAAACAGGAACACUAAACUUGCUAGAAGACAAGUUAAAUAGAACUCUUGAAGAUACUGGCAUAGGAAAAGACUUUAUGAACAAAUCCUCAGCAGAAUCAAACAACUGGGAUCUCUCAUCUUAUUAAAAAGCUUCUGGACUGCAAAAGAAACCACCAAUAGAGCUAAGAGACAACUUACAAUGUGGGAAAAAAAAUUUAAUCAGCUGUUCCUCAAACAAAGGACUACUAUCAUGAAUAUAUAAAGAACUUUAAAAAAUCAGACCUCCCAAACACAAUUCAAAAAUGGGCAUCUGAAAUGAAGAGACAUUACUCGGACAAAGAAAUAAAAGCCGCAAAUAAACAUAUGAAAAAAUGUUCAACAUCACUCGUCAUUCGAGAGAUGCAGAUGAAAACAACAUUGAGAUUCCACCUCACCCCAGAAAGAAUGGCUGCUAUCAAGAAAUCAACCAAU